AGAGUUUGAUCAUGGCUCAGGAUGAACGCUGGCGGCGUGCCUAACACAUGCAAGUCGAGCGAAGCACUUUACUUUGAUUCUUCGGAUGAGGAGUGAUUUGACUGAGCGGCGGACGGGUGAGUAACGCGUGGGUAACCUGCCUCACACAGGGGGAUAACAGUUAGAAAUGACUGCUAAUACCGCAUAAGGCCACAGCACCGCAUGGUGCAGGGGCAAAAACUCCGGUGGUGUGAGAUGGGCCCGCGUCUGAUUAGUUAGUUGGCGGGGUAACGGCCCACCAAGACGACGAUCAGUAGCCGACCUGAGAGGGUGACCGG
rnacentral:rRNA from 1 species